rnacentral:rRNA from 1 species
UGGGGAAUAUUGCACAAUGGGGGAAACCCUGAUGCAGCGACGCCGCGUGAGUGAUGAAGGCCUUCGGGUCGUAAAGCUCUGUCGUAUGGGAAUAACAUAAUGAAUGUACCAUGCAAGAAAGGAUCGGCUAACUUCGUGCCAGCAGCCGCGGUAAGACGAGGGAUCCUAGCGUUGUUCGGAAUCAUUGGGCGUAAAGCGGGUGUAGGCGGGCUUCUAAGUCAGGUGUGAAAUCCCAGGGCUCAACCCUGGAAGUGCACUUGAUACUGGAAGUCUUGAAUGUGGUAGAGGCUAUUAGAAUUCUUGGUGUAGUGGUGAAAUACGUAGAUAUCAAGAGGAAUACCGGAGGCGAAGGCGGAUAGCUGGGCCAACAUUGACGCUGAGACCCGAAAGCGUGGGGAUCAAACA